rnacentral:rRNA from 1 species
AAAUCCCUUCUUUUCGUUGUCGACGUUUAGCAUUGUAUAUUGGUAAGUUCUAUGUGUUGAUCUUCUUCUAUGACAGAGGUUUGAGGCAGGCCACAAUGUUCAGGUUGCUAAGUUCUCGAUUAUUCAUGUGAUCUUUCUUACCUUACUUCCACAUUCUACAUCAUCCGGAUACAUCUUCGUACCUGAGUUCCUACCGCGCCGGUUCAAACGCAGAGGUAAACCCAUUGUGCCUACUGCCGACGGACGUAAAGUUCUUCUCGUCGUCGAGCAGAAGACAAGCUGUCCAACGGGCGCAUAGACGUGGCACCG